UAGUCUCAUUCGGAUCGGAGUCUGCAACCCGACUCCGUGAAGCUGGAUUCGCUAGUAAUCGCGCAUCAGCCAUGGCGCGGUGAAUACGUUCCCGGGCCUUGUACACACCGCCCGUCAAGCCAUGGAAGCCGGGGGGUGCCUGAAGUGUGCAGCCGCAAGGAGCGCCCUAAGGUAAAACCGGUGACUGGGGCUAAGUCGUAACAAGGUAGC
rnacentral:rRNA from 1 species